UACAGAGGUCUCAAGCGUUGUUCGGAUUCAUUGGGCGUAAAGGGUGCGUAGGUGGCGCCGUAAGUCAGGUGUGAAAUUUCGGAGCUUAACUCCGAAACUGCAUUUGAUACUGCGGUGCUUGAGGACUGGAGAGGAGACUGGAAUUUACGGUGUAGCAGUGAAAUGCGUAGAGAUCGUAAGGAAGACCAGUGGCGAAGGCGGGUCUCUGGGACGGUACUGACGCUGAGACGCGAAAGCGUGGGGAGCGAACAGG
rnacentral:rRNA from 1 species